rnacentral:rRNA from 1 species
AUUGAACGCUGGCGGCAUGCCUUACACAUGCAAGUCGAACGGUAACGGGCCUUCGGGUGCCGACGAGUGGCGAACGGGUGAGUAACGCAUCGGAACGUGCCAUUGAGUGGGGGAUAACUAUCCGAAAGGAUAGCUAAUACCGCAUAUUCUGUGCGCAGGAAAGCAGGGGAUUGUAAGACCUUGUGCUCUUUGAGCGGCCGAUGUCAGAUUAGCUAGUUGGUGGGGUAAAGGCCCACCAAGGCGAUGAUCUGUAGCGGGUCUGAGAGGAUGAUCCGCUAUACUGGGACUGAGACACGGCCCAGACUCCUACGGGAGGCAGCAGUGGGGAAUUUUGGACAAUGGGGGCAACCCUGAUCCAGCCAUGCCGCGUGAGUGAAGAAGGCCUUCGGGUUGUAAAGCUCUUUCGGCCGGGAAGAAAUCGGUGGGGCUAAUAUCCCUACUGGAUGACGGUACCGGACUAAGAAGCACCGGCUAACUACGUGCCAGCAGCUGCGGUAAUACGUAGGGUGCGAGCGUUAAUCGGAAUUACUGGGCGUAAAGCGUGCGCAGGCGGUUUGUUAAGACAGGCGUGAAAUCCCCGGGCUUAACCUGGGAACUGCGCUUGUGACUGGCAGGCUAGAGUACGGCAGAGGGGGGUGGAAUUCCACGUGUAGCAGUGAAAUGCGUAGAGAUGUGGAGGAACACCGAUGGCGAAGGCAGCCCCCUGGGCCGAUACUGACGCUCAUGCACGAAAGCGUGGGGAGCAAACAGGAUUAGAUACCCUGGUAGUCCACGCCCUAAACGAUGUCAACUAGGUGUUGGGUGGGUAAAACCAUUUAGUACCGGAGCUAAUGCGUGAAGUUGACCGCCUGGGGAGUACGGCCGCAAGGUUA